ensembl:lncRNA
AACAAACCACAGUGCCAUGAGAUGGGACCAACCCAAAUGAGUUCCAGCUGCAGGAACAGCCCAGCUGUGAGUGGUUAGAGCUGAUCACUGCCUGGCUGGGAUGGCUGCUCACAGAGCCCACACUAAACCUCUGCAGAUCACUGGCUGCGUGUAGCAGAGCCUGGAGACCCUGCAGCCCCUCACCGUGUGCUACUGAGUUGUGGGCUAAUUGAGACAUGACAGCAUGGAGCAGCAAAUGGUGCUUGCAGAACAGCUCCAGGACCGUGUCAGAGCCAGGUGGGGCUGUAAAGCUUCACCACACAACCGUGGCAAUGGCUGCUGCCCUCAUCCCUUCAGUGCAAUACUGCUUCACCAAAGCUGUGGCUUUCAGCAGCAAUGCGGGGCUCCUGGGAGGCAGAUUUCAUUAGAUGUGCACAGAAAAGCUCCUCAGAAGUGGAUCGGAGGUCUACGAGAUGGAAACAGCACUUUCCAUGGAGACUUUUCCAAGUCUGUGGCCCUUUCUGGUGGGAUUGUAGUGGGUCAGCUCUGUGUCACCCCCUGCAGAACACGCAGCGAUGGUGUCAGCGUUGGCUAAACGUGUAUCUGGGCAAUGUUGGCUGCAAAAAUGAAAGACACAAAUGAAGAAAGGUACAGCAAAGGCCAGCGCUCCUUGAGGCUGGUGCUCCCAUCUGUGCUUUGUAAUUCUGAGUUGGGAGAGGAGUGGUAAUCCAACUCUAUUGCUCAUAAACAAUAUCAUUGACUGUAGGGUCUGGAUUUACAAGGGUUUAUGAGACCUGAAAGCCAUAGAUAAGCAUUUAGUAGGAUUUACUGAAAAGCCUUAAAUGAGACUUCCAACAGGAGAUGGGUACCUUCUGCAAGUCUCACUAAAUUUAUACCUACACCUUUAGGGGUGUAAAUACCUUCUGACAGACCCUCCCCUCUUAUCAUAUAAAUCAAAGCAGGGCAGCCUGAAGGAUGGGAGAACCAUUUUCUAAGUGGGGAAUCUGGACCCUAUCAUUAAGGUCACCAUUCUGCAAAUACUUUUAGCAUAAGUGCAUAAGAAAAUUUGUUUUCCUUUACGUGGAGAGUAAACCAUAUGUUGUAAGCAGGUGAAGCUGCAGCAAGGCUACAGCUGGGCAGGAUUUUGAAGCUCCUAUGGCUUGUUGCUAAAGAGGAUACCCUCCUGCAGGUACCCAUGCAAGCAAUUUAUUCUGUCAUCCGAAUGGCAAAAUGUGCUCUGUGUUUUCUGGGGCCUCCACACAGCUGAGAUCCCAGAGCGGAGCACUGGGAGCCCUUGCUCUUCCUCAUCUGAAGAUGCCAAACAUCAGGAGCUGGAUGUGAGCGGGUUCCUGUGUGACCCUCCCCUCCUGAAGGGAAAGAACAACACCAGGCUGACUGUAGUUCUGCUUUUUAAAAAUCCUUCUGAUGUGAAGGGGGAAAAAUGGUGCUGCAGGGACAAGGAUUGAGCUCAGUUCCAAAACUAACAGGCAAACAAAAAACCCCAAAUAACAGAAGGCCCAGAAGCUAUCGAUCAGAAGGAGCUGGAUCCCCAAGUGGAUGUUCAAUGGGGCAAUCUCCAGCUCCCCAGGUCUCUGUGUACAGCUCAGUGUCAAAAGUAAAGAGAUGCAUGUGGGGAUGGUUCUCUCUCACACUGCAGGAUCUGGUAAUGAUCCCUGGGGCUGUGCUCCCUUGCUGCACAAGUGAAGUGUUGGUGCAGCAGUGUCUGAACACCGCUGGCCCUAAGUCUGGUGAUCUCUAUCCCUAGGGGCCACAGGGUGCAGGUCCUGCAGCAGGAGCAGAGCAGGGCUCAGGCCAUCGCUGUGCUGUGCGAGCUGCAGGGCUUCUGGGAAUGGCAACAAGAGGGAUUGCAUUGGAGUGCCUGGCUGAUGUAGAAGUAAAUCUUAGGAGGCGAAGCAGAGUGCAGCUCCUUACAUCGAGCUUUAAGACUAAUUGAUCGCUUUCCCUGAGCACACAAACCUGUCUUUAUUUUGAGCCCGAAAGGAAAAGUUCUUUCAAAGUCACCAGAGACAAAUAAUCCUUCAGGAGUCACUGCUGACACGGAAUUAUAUUUUCAGUCAUUUUUCAGUUGUGUGCGUCUCCAUCCCGUCACAUUAGUUUGCUAACACUUCCCAUGUAACAAUGAGAC